AUCAUACGUAUCAGAGGAGAAUUAAUGGCCGUUACCCAUGGAGCAGGCGCCUGACACAUCCGUACAUACGGAGCUAGGCGACAGAAGACAGCUAGCAUUGUGGCAGAGAGACAGAUAUAUAUAUCAUUGUAGAAGCCACGCAGAAGGGGGCUCUCUUCUUCUUCCUUCUCCUUCCUGGACACCAUUUUUAUUCUUUCUGUAACCCUUGCCUAAAUAUACUACUCUGAGCCAUAAAAUCUGACUUGAGCGUCGGAGGGCCUCUGCCGGGGCACCCCCCGGUAGGCCCCUGACCAUUCUUUCUUAUUUUACAGGUCCUUUCACCAGAUAGAACAUGGAGAGACCCAUCAGGGAGCCCAACAAGAAAGGACCCAGAGGAAAACCAGAUCUAUCAUGGACCAGGAAGAGGAAAAUAUUUAUCAAAUGGCGCCGUCUGUGGGAAACGAAGGAGAUCUUUUCAUCACCGGAGUUUUCACUUUCAAAACCCACUGAGAUCCACAAUGGCAAACCACCAAGAAAAUAACCUUAACGUCAUUCCAAAUAAUCUGAGCUCUGCCAAAGAGGGGGAACGGUUCUUAUUUUCCAGUCCUACAACUCCAAACAACCAACCACCCAUUCCUUUUAACCCCUCGCCGAGCUUGGCCGGGAAUGUGCCCUCCACGAAAGAGAUUUUACUAUCUCAAAAGUUUUCAGAUCCACCCAUUGAGAUCCACAUAAGAUUUUAUUACGGCUGAUUUUUUCUUUGAAGUCUGGUGAAUAUUUUCUGUAAAAGAAAAAAAAAAGGGUGAGGAAUAUGUGUAUUGUUGAAAUUCUGAGGUCCGCUGUAUAUAUA